UUUUAAAAACAAAAUAUUUUUACCAACUCGAGAACACCACUCAAAUGUUAAUAACAAAGAGAUAAAAACAUAAGUAUUUUUAUCCUACUUCACUUGAAACUCAAAGCUACUCCAGUCCAUCCGCCAAGGUGAUUUAUCCUUAUACACAAGGACUUAAUCCACUUACAAUAAUCACAAAGAAUAACCUCCUUUGUCUUCUCAAGGAUCCGACUAUAUCUUAG
rnacentral:lncRNA from 1 species